rnacentral:RNase_P_RNA from 1 species
CUGUUAGGACGGGUGGUCGCCUGGGAAGUGGUUCAAACCGCCGACCGGGAGGAAAGUCCGGUCUCCAUAGGGCAGCAUGCCGGCUAACGGCCGGGGAGAUUCGUUCAAGCGAGUCUCACGGAAAGUGCCACAGAAAAUAUACCGCCGCCGGCCCAGGUUUCGGCUUGGGUUGACGGUAAGGGUGAAAUGGUGCGGUAAGAGCGCACCGCGGGCGGAGUAAUUCGUCCGGCAGGGUAAACCCCAUGCGGAGCAAGACCAAAUAGGAGAGAAGGAGCGGCCCGCUCCGUUCGACUCUCGGGUAGGUCGCACGAGCCAGUCAGUAAUGGCUGGCCCAGAGGAAUGAUCGCCGCCCUUCGGGGUACAGAAACCGGCUUAUAGUCCGCGCAGGCCC